AUGAUUAAUUUCUUGUUGAUCCCAGUGAACUUUCUUCUGCUCGACCUUCUUAAGGUGCUAUCUGGUAACGAAGUUCCAACCCUCGCCGGUGUUGUAUUAACUGUAGUUUUGGUCUAGACCCAGGAUGUAUAGGCCAGAACGAGCAUAGGAUGUUACCAAAUGUCUACCACACCGAGGAACGUGAUUCUACUAGCUAGUCUCUAGAUCUCAGGAGUUAUGUCAGCUACUGCGGAGGAGUUCUAAGUGAAGAAACAUCGGGGGUUGGAACCAUAUCAUAUUUUUGGAUGUUUAUUUAGUCUUCUUAUCCGUUAAUAGCCUACGAAUACAAACAACCACAUCAUCGGGAGAAUUCAGGUCAGGAUCUCUUCACACAGCAUCUUCGUAUAGUCCUUCUGUACCUGCACCUAUACGUAAUACCAACAUAAUACCUGCACCUAUACCAGCGAUAUAAUCGAUAUAGAAAAUG
rnacentral:rRNA from 1 species